rnacentral:rRNA from 1 species
AACGAACGCUGGCGGCAUGCCUAACACAUGCAAGUCGAACGAGACCUUCGUGUCUAUUGGCGCACGUCUGCGUAACGCCGGGGAACCAACACUUAGGUUCGGAAUAACUCCCCGAGAGGUGUUCUAAUACCGCAUAAUGUAUUCGGACCAAAGAUUUAUCGCCUUGGGAUGGGCCCGCGUUGGAUUCGCUAGUUGGUAGGGUAAAAGCCUACCAACGCGACGAUGCAUAGCUGGUCUGAGAGGAUGAUCAGCCACACUUGUACUGAGACACGGCCCAGACUGCUAGGGAACGGAGCAGUGGGGAAUAUUGGACAAUGGGGGAAAGCCUAAUCAAGCAAUGCGGGGUGAGUGAUGAAGGCGUUAGGGUUGUAAAUCUCUUUUACCCGGGAUGAGAAUGACAGUACCGGGAAAAUAAGCUCCGGCUAACUACGUG